rnacentral:rRNA from 1 species
GUACCCGCUGAACUUAAGCAUAUCAAUAAGCGGAGGAAAAGAAACUAACAAGGAUUCCCCUAGUAACGGCGAGUGAAGCGGGAAUAGCUCAAAUUUGAAAUCUCAUAGGUUUACCUGUGCGAAUUGUAGUUUAAAGAAACGUUUUCGGGAGCGGCUUGGGUAUAAGUCCUUUGGAAAGAGGCACCUAAGAGGGUGACAGUCCCGUGCAUGAUCCAAUGUCCGCUUCUAUGUGAUACGUUCUCAAAGAGUCAGGUAGUUUGGGAUUGCUGCCUAAAAUGGGUGGUAAAUACCAUCUAAAGCUAAAUAUUGGCGAGAGACCGAUAGCGAACAAGUACCGUGAGGGAAAGAUGAAAAGAACUUUGAAAAGAGAGUUAAACAGUACGUGAAAUUGCCAAAAGGGAAACGCUUGGAACCAGUAUUGUUUGCAUGUAAUCAAGUACACGUUCCGCAAGGGUCGCGUGUGCUGCACUUGCGUGUAGACAGGCCAACAUCAGUUUGAUUUGAGGUACAAAGCCUGAGAAAGGUAGCUUGGAUUCGUCUGAGUGUUAUAGUCUCUGGUCAUGCCUUGGAUUGGACUGAGGACUGCAGCGUUUUUUGGGUUGCCGGGUGGCUGCUUGAAACCAACCUUUAGACAGCAUGCUGACUUUGGGCGGGCGUAGGGUACUCAUCAGGAUAAUCACACCAGCGCUUAGGAUGUUGGCGAAAUGGUUCCAAACGACCCGUCUUGAAACACGGACCAAGGAGUCUAACAUAUAUGCGAGUAUUUGGGUGGCAAACCCUUAUGCGAAAUGAAAGUAAAUUUGGUGCGAUCUUUAAUGCGCAGCAUCGACCGGUCUGGAUUCUUUUGAUAGAUCUGAGUAAGAGCAUACAUGUUGGGACCCGAAAGAUGGUGAACUAUGCCUGAAUAGGGUGAAGCCAGAGGAAACUCUGGUGGAGGCUCGUAGCGAUUCUGACGUGCAAAUCGAUCGUCAAAUUUGGGUAUAGGGGCGAAAGACUAAUCGAACCAUCUAGUAGCUGGUUCCCUCCGAAGUUUCCCUCAGGAU